GAUGAACGCUGGCGGCGUGCCUAAUACAUGCAAGUCGAGCGAACAGACGAGGAGCUUGCUCCUCCGAUGUUAGCGGCGGACGGGUGAGUAACACGUGGAUAACCUACCUAUAAGACUGGGAUAACUUCGGGAAACCGGAGCUAAUACCGGAUAACAUGUUGAACCGCAUGGUUCAACAGUGAAAGACGGUCUUGCUGUCACUUAUAGAUGGAUCCGCGCCGCAUUAGCUAGUUGGUAAGGUAACGGCUUACCAAGGCAACGAUGCGUAGCCGACCUGAGAGGGUGAUCGGCCACACUGGAACUGAGACACGGUCCAGACUCCUACGGGAGGCAGCAGUAGGGAAUCUUCCGCAAUGGGCGAAAGCCUGACGGAGCAACGCCGCGUGAGUGAAGAAGGUCUUCGGAUCGUAAAACUCUGUUAUUAGGGAAGAACAAAUGUGUAAGUAACUAUGCACGUCUUGACGGUACCUAAUCAGAAAGCCACGGCUAACUACGUG
rnacentral:rRNA from 1 species